rnacentral:piRNA from 1 species
UAAGACGUUAAUUUUUUGUUA